UACGGGGGGGGCAAGCGUUGUUCGGAAUUACUGGGCGUAAAGGGCUCGUAGGUGGCCAACUAAGUCAGACGUGAAAUCCCUCGGCUUAACCGGGGGAACUGCGUCUGAUACUGGUUGGCUUGAGAUUGGGAGAGGGACGCGGAAUUCCAGGUGUAGCGGUGAAAUGCGUAGAUACCAGGAGGAACACCGGUGGCGAAAGCGGUUCCUGGCCGAAUACUGACGCUGAGGCACGAAAGCGUGGGGAGCAAAC
rnacentral:rRNA from 1 species